AUACUCUCAAAAAGAAAAAAAAAAAACACACAAAAAAACUGCUGUGUCUUUAUUUACCACCUUCACACCAUUUUUAAUUGGAUUUUAAAUGAUGUUGAGGCCCAGCUGGGUUAGGUAAUUGGUGCAGCUAGAAGCAGGCCCAUCCGAGGUUAGAUUUCACCUUCCCAACUUGCAGCUCACCCUGUUACCGAGAGUGGGGUCCUGCUGCUUGCAGCUCAAAAGCUAAUAAAGAGCUUCCUUGGAUGAGACUCCUGGUUUGACUAAUGUCUGGCUGUUGCCCUGGAGCCGUGGACUUUGGAUAUUUCUGUUUACUCUCAUCACCUCCCAACUUUCCUGGAAGAGGAGUGGUCCAUUCAGCUCUUUGCUUGUGCCCAAAUGGAGAGGCUGGGGAUCUCAUUAUUCUCUUGGCUGUUUAAUCCAUCCUUUUCCAUAUGAAGUUUGAAUCUUCUGGUGUGUGAGGCUCCUGCUCAAAUACCUGCUGUUUUUCAUUUCCUUCUGUGAGAGCUGAGGCAAGGAUAAAGCUUGUUCCCUCAUGUAUAAGAAGCAGAAAUGUGUGGCUACCUAGACAAGAAAAAAGGAAGAAUCAAUCCAACUUGCAGAAUCUUCCAUUUUAUUGGAGAACACAAAAUUUGAAUCAGUGUGUUCAGUCAAGGAUGAACUAAUAAUUCAGUCCCUGAAUCAGAAAUUGCACUAAAAUUUAAAGCAUAAACUAUGUUCCUCCUAAAAUCAAUUGAACAAACAUGGACUGUUUUAUAUCAAAUAUAUAUUAGGUUUUCUUAUGGAACAAACUUUUUCUCAGCAAGAGAUAAUAAUUAAACUGUCUUUUCCUGUCAUUAAGCAAACCACAUACAGCAUCCUUUUAGCUGGUGAAAAACAAUGAUAGGUUUUUAGGUCUUUGGGGGUGUUUUUAGGGUCUCAUCACAAUACCAGACAAAAAUUUAUAAACAGAGACACAGGAAAAUGUGCUACAGUAUUUGUUGAGUUAUACCCCAAAGCAAAGUUUCUAGAAUCAUGACCUGUAUGCCUAUUUAUAUUAACCCUCCCUGGAAUAUUUCUGAGAAACCACAGUAGAA